AGUACCAGCUUUGGGACCUGUUGCCUGUGUGAUUGUGGAAAACACUUCAGCUCUCAGGGGGGCUUCUUAGCUGGAAAGUGGGGGUAAAACAGUAACCCCUGUCAGAUGAGAAGAUGCCAGCCUUGAGCAAGAUAAAGCACGUUAUGAAUGGCUGUUGGUGGUGGUUCUCUGUUUCACUCUUCUGCCUCCCUCAUUCCCUGCUCCUCCUGGGCUUGAAAAUCAGUCAUUGUGAUCUCCUCCUCUGCUGCCCAGCCCAGUCCUGCUGUCGUGCCUGGAACGUAACUCCCACAA
rnacentral:lncRNA from 1 species